AGUGAACGCUGGCGGCGUGCUUAACACAUGCAAGUCGAACGAGAACGGAUUAUAGCUUGCUAUAACUGUCAGCUAAGUGGCGCACGGGGGAGUAAUGUAUAGGUAAUAUGCCUCUUACUAAGGGAUAACAAAUGGAAACGUUUGCUAAUACCUUAUACUCCUUAUUAACAGAAGUUAAUAAGGGAAAGAUUUAUUGGUAAGAGAUUAGCCUGUAUUGUAUCAGUUAGUUGGUGGGGUAAUGGCCUACCAAGACUAUGACACAUAACUGGUUUGAGAGGAUGAUCAAUCACACUGGAACUGAGACACGGUCCAGACUCCUACGGGAGGCAGCAGUGGGGAAUAUUGCACAAUGGACGAAAGUCUGAUGCAGCAACGCCGCGUGGAGGAUGACACAUUUCGGUGCGUAAACUCCUUUUAUAUGAGAAGAUAAUGACGGUAUUAUAUGAAUAAGCACCAGCUAACUCCGUGCCAGCCGCCGCGGUAA
rnacentral:rRNA from 1 species